rnacentral:snRNA from 1 species
GGAUGUGAGGGUGAUCUGGCUGCGACAUCUGUUACCCCAUUGAUCGCCAGGGUGAAUUCAGCUGAUCUGGCUCGCUAGGUGGGUGUGCCCUUUCUGCCUCAACAAUCCAUGUGCAUCCCUCCUGAAGCCUUAAGAGGACAACCACUCCUGAUAGAGGAAGACCAUUCCUCCGGCAAGGGCAUACAAGUAGCCACACUUCCCUGCUCGAACCUCCAAACAAGCUCUCAAAAACAUUAAAAAAUAAAGCUUUGUGCACUAAAAGACACCCACUGACAAAGUAAAAUGGCAGCCUAGAGAACCCCUUU